rnacentral:rRNA from 1 species
GAUGAACGCUAGCGGCAGGCCUAACACAUGCAAGUCGAGGGAGAAGCCCUUCGGGGCAGAAACCGGCGCACGGGUGCGUAACGCGUAUGCAACCUACCUUUCACAGGGGGAUAGCCCGAAGAAAUUUGGAUUAAUACCCCAUAAUAUUAUUGGAUGGCAUCAUUUGAUAAUUAAAAUUACGAUGGUGAAAGAUGGGCAUGCGUCCUAUUAGCUAGUUGGAGUGGUAACGGCACCCCAAGGCUACGAUAGGCAGGGGUCCUGAGAGGGAGAUCCCCCACACUGGUACUGAGACAGGGACCAGACUCCUACGGGAGGCAGCAGUGAGGAAUACUGGUCAAUGGUCGGAAGACUGAACCAGCCAUGCCGCGUGCAGGAAGAAUGCCUUAUGGGUUGUAAACUGCUUUUAUAUGGGAAGAAUAAGGCGUACGUGUACGUGAUGACGGU